GCGAAGAAGCAAACACCAAUGAAGGAUACAACCCUGGAUGCGAAGAAGCAACGAAUCAAAACAGAGUUCGAUGAUGUGACAGCGAAAAAUGUCAUUCGGAAGCGAACGUAACGCCUGGCAGUGCAUCAAUGAAAACAGCUGAUUUUACGCAAGGAGCGGCUUUCUCACAACAAUCGCAAAUAUCAUGGAACCGCGAGUGGAUAGAUUGUGCAUUCGCAAUUUUCCGGAAUCUUUCAGUGAAUCGGACGUCAAAGAAUUCCUCUCUCGGUUCGGUAUCGGUAGUGUGGAGUUUCUGAAGCGUCGUAGAAAACUUACAGCUAUCGUUUACAGUUCGGAACAAGUGUUAACCAAGUGCAUUCUAUCGCGACUUCACCAGCUGAAAGUCCUCGACAAACGGCUGAUUGUUGAGUACUAUGAAGGAUCGGCGGAAGUGGAAAUCGUCGAUGGUGAGAGUGAGACAAAGAAUACGUCCAGGGUCCAUUCGGCUCAAGAGUUAAGCAAGUUUGUUAAAGCCCUACACGCCGUCCAUCCAGUGGACUUUGAUCAGCCUCCACCGCCGUAUCUCCGGUAUCGAUAUCCUCGAGCUACGCGGGAAAUAAUCGACAGCAUUUGUGUGGCGCUGGAAUCGGUGCCGAAGUUCUACACCCAAGUGCUUCAUUUGAUGAAUCGGAUGAAUCUGCCUCCUCCCUUCACGACACGGGAUGUAGAACGGCGGGGUUCCGUAGUGGAGAAACGGGAUGCUGUCCAGCAAACGGAUCCUGUUCGAAUCAAAGAGUGUCUCCUGGUGGAUGAUGAAUCCGAACUUGAGUCGGACGAAGAAACGCCACAGGCUGUAGGACCUACCAAGCAAAAGGUUUCUCUAGAUAGAAACCGAUUCAAGCCUUACGUUUUGCCACAAGUGGUCAACGUUCCUCAUAACGGUUCAAACUUAGUUAAAUCUACUCCUCAACCUAAACCCAUGAAAGCUAGUCAGAACAUCAUUCUUCGGAUUCCAGACAAACUCAAGACUUCUAAGAAAGUUCCUACAUCUCCACCGAAAUCUCCUAUGCCACCCCCCACAAAUCCCCCAACAAUUACCACGGAAAUCGACCUCCUUGCCAAUCGCAUCCCACCGGACCAAUUGACCGAUCUCCCGGUCUUUAAAAACUACACCCCCGGCGAACCAUCCAACAAGCUCUACCUGAAAAACCUCGCCAAAACCGUCACUGAAGACGACCUCAAACGAAUCUUCCACCGGUUCGCCAUCACCGGCCAUCCCGACCGCGAAAUCGACAUCAAACUCAUGCAAAGUGGCCGCAUGAAGGGGCAAGCCUUCGUCACAUUCUCCUACAUCUACGAGGAAGACCUCGACCUAAUGGAGGAGAAGCCCAUAGCACGUGCGUUGAGGCUCACCAACGGGCUCCUACUGAAGGACAAACCGAUGGUGGUGGCGUACGGGAAGAGCAGCGCGGCCAAAGUCGAAAAAGAAGACGGAGGGGAGAAAGCGUCGUAGUCGCGAUCGUUCAUGUCUUUAUCUUGUCGUCGUGAAUCUAAUUUCGGACCCCGCGAGGAGAGAAGAAAGUUUUUGCGCGUUUGUUUGAUGUGUGCUUAUUACGCCGUUUAAAAAUAUGUAUAUGAAUGUCUAUGCAAAUGAGCGCGCUUUGCGCGAGAGGACUACACAAACAAGAAUUGGAGGUAGUAUUUGCGCGUGUUGACGAAUCGAAAGGAUGACCGAAUUGAUGUGAUGUCUUGUGGUGACGAAGUUUGAGUUAUCGAGUCGUAAAUUUUGGCGUUUUUUGAACGAAAGAUAAUUUGAUGGAUGCUGAUAAAAGGUGUGAUAUAAAAGGUGGAACCGCGGGAUUAGCUGCAUAUAGAAGCUCUGCUAAAGCUUAUUGACCGUUGUCCUGAUCUACUGGAGCUGGAUCUCUCCGAUUGCACUCAGUUGUCUUCGGAAGCGAUGAAGAUAGUGUGCAAGUUGAAAAAGCUAGAAUAUCUAUCCCUAUCGCGGUGCUAUAACAUCAACGUCACCUCUUAUCUCCAACUGGGCGCAAUCGAACCGUUGCAAUUUCUGGACAUCUUUGGGCUCCUGUCGGAGCCAGCCCUGGCCAUGCUGCAGACGUCCUUCCCCGGCGUAGGGAUCAACAAGUUCAUGCACAGUUCGGUGGCGAGGCCAACCGUCGGAUCACGGCGGACCUCCAUUUGGGGCCUGCGGACACGAGACUGAUUCCGGGUAACGUUGUCAUCCGAACGGUUUGCAUUUAUUUCCCAUUAAAACGAUUCUUCAGGUGUAAAUAAUGAUUCACUCGCGUAAUUGUAAUUACUCAGUAGAGACGAAUAAUAGUGAUACCGAGUCAGAUGGAGCUCUCUGCUCGUCUGUUGUUCUUAUAAAAUAGUGUA